rnacentral:rRNA from 1 species
UACGGAGGGGGCUAGCGUUGUUCGGAAUUACUGGGCGUAAAGCGCACGUAGGCGGCUUUGUAAGUUAGAGGUAAAAGCCUGGAGCUCAACUCCAGAACUGCCUUUAAAACUGCAUCGCUUGAAUCCAGGAGAGGUGAGUGGAAUUCCGAGUGUAGAGGUGAAAUUCGUAGAUAUUCGGAAGAACACCAGUGGCGAAGGCGGCUCACUGGACUGGUAUUGACGCUGAGGUACGAAGGCGUGGGGAGCAAACAGG